AAUGGGAUAGCUGGGUUAUACAGUGGUUCCACUCUUUGAGGAGUCUCCACACUAUUUUCCACAGUGAUUGUACUCAUUUGGAGUCCCACCAGCAAU
rnacentral:pre_miRNA from 1 species